CCUACGGGAGGCAGCAGUGAGGAAUAUUGGUCAAUGGACGAGAGUCUGAACCAGCCAAGUAGCGUGAAGGAUGACUGCCCUAUGGGUUGUAAACUUCUUUUAUAUGGGAAUAAAAUGUUCCACGUGUGGGAUUUUGUAUGUACCAUAUGAAUAAGGAUCGGCUAACUCCGUGCCAGCAGCCGCGGUAAUACGGAGGAUCCGAGCGUUAUCCGGAUUUAUUGGGUUUAAAGGGAGCGUAGGUGGGUUGUUAAGUCAGUUGUGAAAGUUUGCGGCUCAACCGUAAAAUUGCAGUUGAAACUGGCAGUCUUGAGUACAGUAGAGGUGGGCGGAAUGCGUGGUGUAGCGGUGAAAUGCUUAGAUAUCACGAAGAACUCCGAUUGCGAAGGCAGUUCACUGGACUGCAACUGACACUGAGGCACGAAAGUGUGGGUAUCAAACAGGAUUAGAUACCCUGGUAGUC
rnacentral:rRNA from 1 species